rnacentral:rRNA from 1 species
GAUGAACGCUAGCUACAGGCUUAACACAUGCAAGUCGCGGGGCAGCAUGGGGGUUGCUUGCAAUCCCCGAUGGCGACCGGCGCACGGGUGAGUAACGCGUAUCCAACCUGCCCUUCACCACGGGAUAACCCGGCGAAAGUCGGACUAAUACCGUAUGUUGUCCAUUGACGGCAUCCGAUUUGGACGAAAGGCUUGGCGGUGAGGGGUGGGGAUGCUUCCGAUUAGCCAGACGGCGGGGUAACGGCCCACCGUGGCUACGAUCGGUAGGGGUUCUGAGAGGAAGGUCCCCCACACUGGAACUGAGACACGGUCCAGACUCCUACGGGAGGCAGCAGUGAGGAAUAUUGGUCAAUGGGCGUAAGCCUGAACCAGCCAAGUAGCGUGCAGGAUGACGGCCCUAUGGGUUGUAAACUGCUUUUAUGCGGGGAUAAAGUGGCCCACGUGUGGGCUUUUGCAGGUACCGCAUGAAUAAGGACCGGCUAAUUCCGUG